GUCCUUUUGAUUUUAUAAAAGGUCUGGCCUGCUCUAUGACACUAGUUAAAUGGCUGCAGUAUUUUGACUGUACAAAGGUAGCAUAAUCAUUUGUUCUUUAAUUGGGGACUGGUAUGAAUGGUUUGAUGAAAAAUGUUCUUUCUUUUUUAUAUAAUAAUAACUUAAUGUCUGAGUGAUAAAUCUUAGAUUAUUUUAUAGGACGAGAAGACCCUAUAGAGCUUUAUAUAAUUUGAAGUUAUUAUUAUUAGUUUUAAAAUUUUUAAUUUUUAUUUUUUUAUUUUGUUGGGGUGACGGGAAAAAUUUAUAAACUUUUCUGAUAUUUUAUUUCAUUUAUUUAUGUUAUUGAUCCUUAAUUUAGGAUUGUUAGAUUAAGCUACCUUAGGGAUAACAGCGUUAUUGUUUUGUAGAGUUCUUAUCGAUGAAAUAGUUUGCGACCUCGAUGUUGGAUUAAAAUAAGUUAUGGGGGUAGUUUUUCAUAUUCUAGGUCUGUUCGACCUUUAAUUUUUUACA
rnacentral:rRNA from 1 species